CUUGCCGGAACGGGCACGGGGCAGAGGGUAGGGGGCCUGGGCUGGGACUGCGGAGAGGCGUGGGUGAGGGGGGAGAGCGCUCAGAGGAUCUGCGCCCACAGCCCCUUCCCAGAGAACAAAGUGAGCUCAGCCAGGACUGGGAGAGGAUGGAGCCUCUCUUCAUGAGCCGGCGUUGUCACUGAGCUCGUAAUUGCUGGCAUGCAGAGGCUGCCCGGCGUUGACGGGAUUCAGGAUCACCUUGUCCCCCACAACCACCUACAGGGACCAACGGAGCAGGCUUCCAGAAGGGCUGGAUGAAGAGCCAGGAGCCCUCGUUGCCCGUGGCAUCCAGCGUCACCCGCAUGGCGUUCUUCUCCAGCAGGGCCGGCAGCCGCUUGUUGACGGUCAGGUACUUGUUACUCUUCAUGU